rnacentral:rRNA from 1 species
UACGAAGGGGGCUAGCGUUGUUCGGAAUUACUGGGCGUAAAGCGCGCGCAGGCGGUCUUCCAAGUCAGUGGUGAAAGCCCGGAGCUCAACUCCGGAACUGCCAUUGAAACUGUUAGACUUGAGGACGAGAGAGGUGAGUGGAAUUCCCAGUGUAGAGGUGAAAUUCGUAGAUAUUGGGAAGAACACCGGUGGCGAAGGCGGCAUCCUGGACCGACACUGACGCUGAGGCGCGAAAGCUAGGGUAGCAAACGGG